CCUACGGGAGGCAGCAGUGAGGAAUAUUGGUCAAUGGACGAGAGUCUGAACCAGCCAAGUAGCGUGAAGGAUGACUGCCCUAUGGGUUGUAAACUUCUUUUAUAUGGGAAUAAAACGUUCCACGUGUGGGAUUUUGUAUGUACCUUAUGAAUAAGGAUCGGCUAACUCCGUGCCAGCAGCCGCGGUAAUACGGAGGAUCCGAGCGUUAUCCGGAUUUAUUGGGUUUAAAGGGAGCGUAGGUGGAUUGUUAAGUCAGUUGUGAAAGUUUGCGGCUCAACCGUAAAAUUGCAGUUGAAACUGGCAGUCUUGAGUACAGUAGAGGUGGGUGGAAUUCGUGGUGUAGCGGUGAAAUGCUUAGAUAUCACGAAGAACUCCGAUUGCGAAGGCAGUUCACUGGACUGCAACUGACACUGAGGCUCGAAAGUGUGGGUAUCAAACAGGAUUAGAUACCCCUGUAGUC
rnacentral:rRNA from 1 species